AUUGUGCCUUUAAAUGUUUUUAUGAUCACUUACUUGUUUUUUCUCUACUGACUGCCUGGAAGCAAGAAGCCUAGUGGAUAAGAAGUCCGUAUUGUUAAGUGCAAAGAUAAAAAAAUAAAUCCUCAAGGCUGAGAUACAACGUAUGCUCUUACGGAGCUCGAAUUUCCUGAAGCAGUAAAUGCACCGCGUGAGAAGUGCGACGCCUUCAGCUUCACCUGUGGAGUUUGUUUGGCGCAGAAACACGGAAUAUGACUUCGGAAGGAAUACAGGAAACUAAGAUUUGAAGAAUUUUGUUUUUUAUUUAUUUAAAAAAUGUAACUAAUUUCAAAAUGGACACCAGCUGGAGCGGUUUGGGACAACAGAUGAUUCGCGCCGUUUCCAGGAGUUUUGAAGCUCAGAUCACAAGAACAAGAUGUACCGACAGAGCUUCCUGUGGCUGAACCUGAAGAGACUGGCUGUCCAGGACACACAGGCAGAGUUGCAGAGCAGCAAGUAACUGAUGCCAAAGAAGCGCUGGUUCGUUAAUAAACCCACAUUCAUACCGAGUCCUGGACAUGAACGGCUACUUCAAAUGUGCGAGUCCUUAGCCUCCACCAAGGAGUUGAUGCGGAGACCUGUGACAGAUGGAGCCGGCGACGUAGCCUUCGAACACAAGUGUUUUCACCAAACACUUCAGGGAAAGUACAGUGCUGUGCAGAAAGGUGGUAGCUUAUUUCUUUAUGUUUUGUUUCUAAGGAGCGAGGCUUUUUGGGGUGUUUUAAGUUGGCUUCUUACUUUACUUUGGUUGUUUUUCACCAAUCUGCAGCCCGAUUCCUGACGACUUUCAGUAGAAUCCCUUGUUGUUUAAGCCACACAUCUCAUUGGCUUGUGAAAACAUGCAUAUUUUACCAACCUCUAAAUCUAAACCGUUUUUAAAAAAUGCACAAAGUUGCGUUCAUCUCUUGGAAGCGCAGUAUAAACCAACUAUUGUCUGGUUUACAGCUGUAUAGUCUUCUAAUGAUAUGCAAAUAUCUAAAUUUGUGACGCAUAUCAUUUAUUUAUCAG